GAGGAGGGAGGAGAUGGGCCAAGUUCCCUCUGCCUGGAACGCCCUUCCCCCCCUUCUUC
rnacentral:pre_miRNA from 1 species